rnacentral:rRNA from 1 species
CAUUGUGGCCAUAUCACCUUGAAACACCUGAUCUUGUUUGAUCUUAGACGCAAGAAAGGGUGAAUUUGGGUCUCAUAUUGG